rnacentral:rRNA from 1 species
UACGUAGGGGGCAAGCGUUAUCCGGAUUUACUGGGUGUAAAGGGAGCGUAGACGGCCAGACAAGUCUGAAGUGAAAAUCCAGCGCUUAACGUUGGAAGUGCUUUGGAAACUGCCGGGCUGGAGUGCAGGAGGGGCAGGCGGAAUUCCUAGUGUAGCGGUGAAAUGCGUAGAUAUCAGGAGGAACACCAGUGGCGAAGGCGGCCUGCUGGACUGCAACUGACGUUGAGGCUCGAAGGCGUGGGGAGCAAACAGG